rnacentral:lncRNA from 1 species
GGAUUCCGGUGGCUGCGUCCGCGUCGCCUCUCCCAGACUAGAUCGAAGGGUUCCCCCCACCUCCCCUCUGUGGGCGGAAAGAGCGGAAUGUUCCAUUUUUCUGUGGAAUAACGGGGUCAUGAACUGGAGCCCGGGUGCUGCCCGCCGCCCGCUGCCCCCGCCCUCCCUUCUCGCCAGGGCGCCUGCGGCCUCUCUUCGCGGCCUUCCCCGAGGGACUCAGAGCCGCGAGGGACCGCCUAGCUCCCUUGGGGAUGGGGAAGGCGUGGGAGCCUCUUGGGGAAAGUGAAGAGCUCGGUGGCCGUGACUCCGCACGAGACUGCGGCAGAUUGUGGCGGCGGCUUCUCUCCAAGACUUACGUAAACGAGCCUUGCCACAGUACUUUUUUAAAUUAGUAAAUGAGUUUGGGUGCGAUUGAUCAGUGAGCCCCAGAGGUGGUGGCCCACCAAGCGACUAGUGUUUCUUUGCGGUUUGUACCUCCCCGUUUAUGAUAAAAAAUACCGGGUAAAAACCUAUUCAUCCCGCCUCCGCCCCCCCCUUUCCCUCAGAAAAUGGACCUCAAGGCUCAUGAUGUUUGUUUCUCCCCAAAGGAAGAUGAGAAUCUUGAGUUAAAAGAUAAGGCAUGUGCGUGCGUGCGUGUGGGGUGUGUGCGUGGGUGUCUGUAAAAGUAAACACCCAAAGGUAGAGGUUUUUGUGGAAGAAUGAGAGGAUAUAGGAAGGAAAUAAUGGUUUAAUGAACUUAAAUUAUAUCCAUAAAUUAACAAUUAUAAAGUUCUUCAUUAUAUUGAGGAUUCAGAUAGAGUAAAACAUAGAUCGAAUUUUAAUCUCUUAGUUGUUGAUCAGAUAAUUUAUAAAAGGGCAAAGUGGGC